rnacentral:rRNA from 1 species
GACGAACGCUGGCGGCGUGCUUAACACAUGCAAGUCGAACGGAAAGGCCUCUUUCGGGGGGUACUCGAGUGGCGAACGGGUGAGUAACACGUGAGUAACCUGCCCUUGACUUUGGGAUAACUUCAGGAAACUGGGGCUAAUACCGGAUAGGAGCUCCUGCUGCAUGGUGGGGGUUGGAAAGUUUCGGCGGUUGGGGAUGGACUCGCGGCUUAUCAGCUUGUUGGUGGGGUAGUGGCUUACCAAGGCUUUGACGGGUAGCCGGCCUGAGAGGGUGACCGGCCACAUUGGGACUGAGAUACGGACCAGACUCCUACGGGAGGCAGCAGUGGGGAAUAUUGCACAAUGGGUGGAAGCCUGAUGCAGCAACGCCGUGUGCGGGAUGACGGCCUUCGGGUUGUAAACCGCUUUCGCCUGUGACGAAGCGUGAGUGACGGUAAUGGGUAAAGAAGCACCGGCUAACUACGUG